rnacentral:misc_RNA from 1 species
AUAAUUAAUAAGAGAUGGGAGAAUGUUUCUCUGUCAGAACGCAUGAUGCUUUGAAAUAUAAGCUUGUAGCAGUUUCUCAGCAGAUCUUUACUCUGACAUUUUAGAAGCAUUCAAGCAUUUUAAAGGCUUCCAUAGAAAUUAUAUUCCACAAUAGAACCAUUUUAACAAGGCUUUGGACUUUCAGUAGGAUGUAACUAUCUAUUUUUUGUGUUAAAAAAAUGAUGCUGGUUUCAAGCGAAAUAUACACUGAUUGCGUGGUCUUAACUCAAAAGCUAGACAAAUCUUGUUGAUUUCAAAGAGCCAUGGCUAAAUGGCCAGCAAUAAAACAGAUAUCCGUCACAAUGCUGUUUGACACAACUACCCAAAGCCCAAGCUCUUCUUAAAAUGGUUCUAGUCUCAAUUGGACCAAAUUGCCCUUAAUUUUUCCAACUUGCAAAGCCAAUUUAUUAACUUACUAGUCACUUUAUUCUUUAAUAUUAUUACAUAUACCUUCAAUAAUAUAUGACCUCACCUCAGCUUAAAUGAUAUUAGUCAGGUGAUACACCUUUACAUUGUUUUGAAAUCUAAGGUAUAUUGAAAUCUUGCAUAUCAAAUCAAUUUUAUUUUGUAAAUAUAGAAUUUAAAUUUAUAUACAGUACAUAAUUUGAAAUGUAAAUGACCUAUUAUAAUAUGUACCAAAUGAAAUGUGAUCAUUUUGUAUUACAACAAUUGCAGGGAAUGUUUUUUGUAUCUUGCAUGUAAAUAAUAUGAUGUCCAAAUAAAUUAACAGAACAC